rnacentral:rRNA from 1 species
GACGAACGCUGGCGGCGUGCCUAAUACAUGCAAGUCGAACGCAGUGGGGACGGGUGAGUAACACGGGGGUAAGCUCCCAUCAGAGGGGAUAAAACUUGGAAACAGGUGCUAAACCGAUACUGAUGGAUGGACCCGGGGUGCAUUAGCUAGUUGGUGAGGUAACGGCUCACCAAGGCCACGAUGCAUAGCCGACCUGAGAGGUUGAUCGGCCACUCUGGAACUGAGCCACGGCCCAGACUCCUACGGUAGGCAGCAGUAGGGAAUCUUCGGCAAUGGACGAAAGUCUGACCGAGCAACGCCGCGUGAGUGAAGAAGGUUUUCGGAUCGUAAAACUCUGUUGUUAGAGAAGCGGGAUCUAAAAAGAAAGCCACGGCUAACUACGUGCCAGCAGCCGCGGUAAGGC